rnacentral:rRNA from 1 species
UACGUAGGUGGCAAGCGUUGUCCGGAUUUACUGGGCGUAAAGGGCGCGUAGGCGGCGUGUUAAGUCACUUGUGAAAUCUCUGAGCUUAACUCAGAACGGUCAAGUGAUACUGAUGUGCUAGAGUGCAGAAGGGGCAACCGGAAUUCUUGGUGUAGCGGUGAAAUGCGUAGAUAUCAAGAGGAACACCUGAGGUGAAGACGGGUUGCUGGGCUGACACUGACGCUGAGGCGCGAAAGCUAGGGGAGCAAACGGG